UAAUCAUAUAAAAUAAAAAUAAGGAAAUGUUCUUUCACAUUUAGACAGUGCUCAAAUGUUAGCGGUCUAGAAUUGUCAAAAAUGAGCGCGGAAUCCCUAAAAAAGCUGGCUAUGAACAUGCAUUGCAACUUUGAUGCCUUUUCUAUAGCUCAGGCAGAAAACAUAGGUUCAGAUUUUACAACCUUUCUGGGGAUAAGAGUUUCCAUAAAGAAUAAAUUUUCAAUUUUCAGUUAAUGUGAUAUUAAUAACUAUGUAUUUCAGGCGCAGCAAACUACACUAGAAUACUAGAAGAAACUUUAUCUGUUAUUAAUAAAGGAAAACAUAAAAGAUAAAGUUUUUAAGAAGUUUGCAACAUUUUAAAGUGAAGAAAAACAUCCCACAACUUAAGAACUGAACGGAAUGGGUCGACCCGACGGCUAUAGGUUCUGGUUCAGAGGCAGAUGGGAGGGGGGUCGUAAACCACACUCCACUAGAC